AGCACUUGUGUUUGUUUUGUUAAGCUUGUGAGCAAAGACUUAUAGACAGGUGCGAAAAUAAACCCUCUUUUGCAACCCAGAACUCAUUGUUUAGUAUGAGUUUUGAUACAGGUAAGAAGGAACAUG
rnacentral:snoRNA from 1 species